GCCUUCGUGGUGUAAUGGUCAAGCACACUCGGCGCGUAUUCGAGAGGUUCGUGGUUCGAGUCCCGACGAGGGCA
rfam:Stegodyphus mimosarum contig44897, whole genome shotgun sequence.